AGUUAAACAGUACGUGAAAUUGUUGAAAGGGAAACGAUUGAAGUCAGUCGUGCUGGCGCGAAAUCAACCCUCUCGUUGAGAGGUCACAUGGCGUGGCGAGCCUCAAAACCGUCACGAAGCGUGAACUCUUGGCGAAAAGGAGCACUUUCGUGUCCGCUGGUUAACAUCAAUUUCGAACGUCAUAAAAAGGCUGGAGGGAUGUGGCUCCUUCGGGAGUGUUAUAACCUUUAGCGGAAUGUGGUGUUCGGGAUUGAGGAUUGCAACGAAUACCUUUAGGGCUGUUCCACCUGGCUUCUCUUUGGUAUCCUGGUGACGACAGCUUGCUGACGUUGUUAGGAUUCGCCUUUGAACAGGCUAGAGUGUGAGCAAAUUCGUUAAGGAUGUUAACGUAAUGGCUUUAAA
rnacentral:misc_RNA from 1 species